CCUACGGGUGGCAGCAGUGGGGAAUAUUGCGCAAUGGGCGAAAGCCUGACGCAGCGACGCCGCGUGAGGGAUGAAGGUCUUCGGGUCGUAAAGCUCUGUCGGCAGGGAGGAAGGCUCACUGUGCUAAUCAGCAGUGCAUUGACGGUACCUGCAAAGGAAGCACCGGCUAACUCCGUGCCAGCAGCCGCGGUAAUACGGAGGGUGCGAGCGUUAAUCGGAAUUACUGGGCGUAAAGCGCUCGUAGGCGGUAUGUCAAGUCAAGGGUGAAAUCCCCGUGCUCAACGUGGGAACUGCAUUUGAUACUGGCAAACUGGAGUGGGUGAGAGGAGAGUGGAAUUCCAGGUGUAGGAGUGA
rnacentral:rRNA from 1 species